rnacentral:rRNA from 1 species
UACCAGCACCCCGAGUGGUCGGGACGUUUAUUGGGCCUAAAGCAUCCGUAGCCGGUUCUACAAGUCUUCCGUUAAAUCCAGCUGCUUAACAGAUGGGCUGCGGAAGAUACUAUGGAGCUAGGAGGCGGGAGAGGCAAGCGGUACUCGAUGGGUAGGGGUAAAAUCCGUUGAUCCAUUGAAGACCACCAGCGGCGAAGGCGGCUUGCCAGAACGCGCUCGACGGUGAGGGAUGAAAGCUGGGGGAGCAAACCGG